rnacentral:lncRNA from 1 species
GUUAUGAUAGUAAUACGGUAUGGCAUGUUGUCAUGUGUACGAUUUCGUGAUGACAACAAUUUCAAUGCCAUUACGUGAUAUUAUUAUUGUGCGUGUUAAUCAGCGCCGCCGUCAACUUAUCUUAUUGUUUACGGUCGCACUGUUAUAAUGUUACGCGAGACGCCAUUGUAAUAUUAUGCAGUCAGUGUCAAAAACGGCAGUGCACAGACAAUGCCGGCCAACUGCAGUGUCGUAUUCAUAAUCGUUUUAUAUUGUAUUAAUAUUUGUGUUCUGAACAUAUCUUGUUAAUAUUAUCGCGUGUCGUGUAUCGAAACGAAACAAAAAUCGAGUACGAUAUUGUUUAUAUUAUCGUCUCGACGGCGGAUCGGCGUCAUCGCCAAACACCACCCAUCGGUCGUUUGUCUUGAAAAAUACGAUUUGUAGUAUGAUAAAAUUAUUUAGCGACUGGCCAGCGGUCGAGACGUCAACGAGCUCUUUAUACAGAUAUUAAAUUUCAGGAUGCAAAGAUGGGCGACCUUUGAAUAAUUUUGGAAAGAAGGGGGAUGUGCGUGAGCUAGCCUACGAUUUUGACUCCCCCGGAGGACUGUGAGCGAAAUAAAAGGGCUGAUUAGGUACGUUUAAGUCUCUCGUAUAUUUUAUGUUUACUUAUGAUAGUUAAUACGUAUGAACCUAUGACUGUAAUAUAUUCUUCUUCUUCGGGCAAUUGGCCGCUAUAGGACCAUCCCGUCAAACACCCUUCUCCCCAACAAUGUCUGUCGGACGAUCGUUCCCGUUUGACUAUAUAAUAUAAGUAUACCUACUUAUAAAUUAUAGUAGGUAUAGGUGUGUAACAUUCUCAACGCGUCUCGAAUCGAUAUAGUAAUAAUAUACUUCGAUGUGGAUGGUAUAUUUGUGUUUAUUAUUACACGAAAAUAUUAUAAUUAAUAAUUUAUAUUGAAAAUAUUUCAAGUCUAAUUCGACUUGAAUAAAAUAACUGUUGGUAGUUUGGAGCGAGUUGUGAUGAUAGAAGUUAGGAUUACUGUUAUUCUUGAGGCUGGUCGUCCAUCAGCGUCUCUCGUCGGGUCAGUUUUUAUAUGUCCCUCCUAUAAUGUUAGCACAGACAAAUCGAUCGACUUAACCCGUGCCACAAAAGCUCUAAAGUUUUAAUAAUAAAAAUGUUCGAAAUCGUUAAUUUUUCAAUAAAAUUAAUCAUAACUCUUAAGAUAAUGAUUUUACAAAAACAUUGUGAGGACUUUAAUUACACAUUAUUAUUAUUACAACAGUUUUAUACUUAUACAUUUUUUAAAAAAAUAUUUGAGCAGCGGCUAUAUAUACGGUGUAUACUAUUAUCUCUGUAAACGCUCUGUAUACGUGCUACCAUCGUUAUUAUUAUUAUCGUUACGCGCUCGAGUAUUAUCAUUAUAUUUAUAAUAUUAUACAAUGAACACGUAGAAAUUAUGUUAUUAUUUAUGUAAGUAUAUUAUAGUCACAGCUCGCUACAGGUAUUACUGCAGUCCAUCUAGUGUCUACUUAUAUUAUAUUUUUAAUUAAAUUCAUGUGUAUUUUUUUUUUUAAUCAUCUGCUUCACAAUCAUUUAGAGUGAAAUCGUGGUUUUCGUCUGUAAAAAAAUAAGUUUUUAUCGCCACAAAAAAGUAUUCGAAAGAAAUUUCCCGAAAUAAGAAUUUUAAUAAAUUAACGAAAAAACGCGGAUAAGCAUGCGCUCGGUCAAUAAUACUCUAUAUUAUAUAGAAAUACUUAAAAUCGUAAGCAAAAUGUUUUUAACGGAGAUACCGCACACACAAUUACAUCAUUGUUUUUUUAUACAGGCACGUCUGGCGUAUACCAUUUAUCAAAUACGUAGGUAUAAUAAUAAUAUGACAUUAAGACAUUUGGCUCAGAUUUCACCUCAAAAUACAGAUACCUAUAGUAUAAAUCUAAUCUUUGGUUAGUAUGACGAAAAAUAAAAUGUUCCCACCAAAUUCCUCAAGUUCAUAUUAUAGGCAGUGGGGUACCUAUCAAUGUAUCAUUUUAUAAAGCGGCGCACGAUGUAGUGGUUAGCUGUCAGUUUCACAGUUUCUUUUGUGUAGUGUCGACCCACUAAAGGUUAGUGCGUUGGCGCUACAAAAAUAUUAUCAUAAUAGUUUUAGAGUAACAUUAUUGGUCAACUACGACUACUGGAAUUCGGCGUUCUUUGGAAAAUGUUUCUACAACUUCUCACGCCAUCGUGACAGUGAAAUUAACUGUAAUAGAACAUUACUGCACACGAUUCAAAUGCUUGAAGUACUCAACGAUUCUAAAACAUUCGUUGAUAUGAAAAUUAAGAAUUUCCCUUAAUAUAUUAAGAGCGAUUUCGAUGAUAAGAUGGAACAUAUGUGGGACCAAAACCCAAAAAAAAACCCACAUGGACAACUUGAUUGGAGAAAACUUCGAAAAAUAAAAUUCUGAAUUGGAAAAAUGGACUCCCACCGAUUGGAUCAAAACACCAAAACCCGUUAACAGUAUUAAGGAUGAAAAUUAAAAAAAAAUGGACAAUAAGAAUGAAUUAAAUAUGGAAAUAUUUUGGUAGAAAGAUCAAAUAUGACUUACGUUUAAAUCCUGAUCGGUAGUCAACAAAAGUUUUUGUCGUCGAAAUUUAGUUACCGAUCAGUGAUCAUUAACUAAAUCAAUAACGUUGUGAUUAUUUUUCUAGUAUUUGAACUCAACCUCCAAUUCAUGGAUGUUGUCAAUUACAAAUUCAUUAAUUUUUCAUCAUUGGGGUAAUCAUGGGUAGUUGUGACCACUUACCAUAAAAAUUUCUUCCUCCAUUGGGAACGUGUCCAACAUUCUUUAUCAUCGAUAUAUAGUUACUUAUCAUCCCCUUUGCUGUACUAUACAUUUCGAAGAACAAUAGUUCUCGAGUACGAAUUCCAGUAGUAUAUUUCACGGAAUCGUCGAAAAUUUGCUUAAGUUCUGACCGGUACCUAUUCAUUAAUAUAUGUUCCAAAUCCAUAUUCGUUCAAUUGUACCAGGUUAUACAGGAUGUACCACCUUGUACAAUUUAUGGGUUCGGAACGUAUAUUAAUGAAUACCGGUCAGAACCUAAGCAAAUGUACGACGAUCCUGUGAAAUAUACUACUGGGUUUCGUACCCGAUAACUA